UGCGCGCCCGCCCGCCGUGCGCGUCCCCGUGAGAGCGCGCUGCGCACCGCCGCGCCGCUAGGUGCUGCCCCGUGGUCGCGCGCGCGUGCGUGCAGGGGGCGCGCCGGGUGUCUGCGGGCAGUACUUGCUCUGUGCCGGCGCUGUGAGUCUAGACUGGAACCGCUUGGUCCUGAGACCGCGUUGGGUCCGCCCUGGGUAGGCUGAGGUGUGACGAACUUGCCAGCGAGCGGCCGGGCGGCACCCUGACGGGCGGGGCGGCCGGGAGCUGCCUAGCCGGGUGGACAGGUGGGCGUGGGCUGCGCGGCCGGCGGAACUGGCCGGCCAUCCCGCCGCGGCCCUGACGCCUGGGCUGCGCUGGCUGCUAGGGUCAAGUCCCAGCUGACCUUUCUCCCGAGGAAAGAUAAAUUAUUAUGGUUGUGUGUGAGCGUCAGUGCAAAUGUUUUCCGAGUCCUCCUCCGGCUCAGGGUGACUUUUGGAUCCCCCGCAUUCCUCAGCCCCUGGCAGGGAGCGGCGGCGCUCUUUGUGUCUCCGGGGAGCGCACGCCACCUCGGGGGAAACAGCGAACCCGAGUUAGAACGGGGAGAGACAUAGCUUCCCCUAGCGUGAGAUUUUUAAUCUUUUAAAGCGCCCCGGUGAACCUAGAAACCCAAAAAUUAACUUGAACAGCAAAUGCUCUGGGUUUUACAGACGUUUGUUUCUUUGUCUUUUUUCAUUGCCUCUUCCGUGCCAAAAAUAUCUGUUCGCUGGAGAACACAUCCGGAAAGAGCUGUUUUCCCCUGUUCAUCCAGGAAAGAAGAGCAUCUGUCCCCCAGGCUGGGCUUUGUCUUCCUUUGCUUUGCGACUGCACUAGCACAGCAAGGCUACAUAAGGGGGCCUUUCAGCAGAGGAGCCUGGUGUUGAACUCGUGCCAUAGGGAAUGAAUUCUUCUAUAGACCCCUCGUCCUCUUCUGCAAGUUAAAGGAGGGGUGAUUUGCAAAAAAAAAAAAAA
rnacentral:sRNA from 1 species